UACGGGGGGGGGCAAGCGUUUGUUCGGAAUUACUGGGCGUAAAGGGCUCGUAGGCGCCAACUAAGUCAGACGUGAAAUCCCUCGGCUUAACCGGGGAACUGCGUCUGAUACUGGUUGGCUUGAGUGUGGGAGAGGGAUGCGGAAUUCCAGGUGUAGCGGUGAAAUGCGUAGAUAUCUGGAGGAACACCGGUGGCGAAGGCGGCAUCCUGGACCAUUACUGACGCUGAGGAGCGAAAGCCAGGGGAGCAAACGGG
rnacentral:rRNA from 1 species